GACGUAGGGGGCGAGCGUUGUCCGGAUUUAUUGGGCGUAAAGCGUGCGUAGGCGGCUGCGCAAGUCGGUUGUGAAACCCCGGGGCUCAACCCCGGAACUGCAUCCGAUACUGCGUGGCUAGAGGUAGGUAGGGGAGAUCGGAAUUCCUGGUGUAGCGGUGAAAUGCGCAGAUAUCAGGAGGAACACCGGUGGCGAAGGCGGGUCUCUGGGCCGUAACUGACGCUGAGGAGCGAAAGCAUGGGGGAGCGAACAGG
rnacentral:rRNA from 1 species